GAUGAACGCUAGCGGCAGGCCUAAUACAUGCAAGACGAACGGUAAGUUGAGUAGCAAUACUUAGCCAAGAGUGUCGUACGGGUGCGUAACACGUAUGCAACCUACCCUAUACAGGAGGAUAGCCUAGGGAAACCUGGAUUAACCCUUCAUAGUAUUAUUGGAUGGCAUCAUUUGAUAAUUAAAACUGAGGUGGUAUAGGAUGGGCAUGCGUCUGAUUAGUUAGUUGGCGGGGUAAUGGCCCACCAAGACGAUGAUCAGUAGGGGGUUCUGAGAGGAAGAUCCCCCACACUGGCACUGAGAUACGGGCCAGACUCCUACGGGAGGCAGUAGUAGGGAAUAUGGUCAAUGGAUGCAAGUCUGAACCAGCCAUGCCGCGUGCAGGAAGAAGGCCUUCUGGGUUGUAAACUGCUUUUAUUCGGGAAUAAACCUGCUUACGUGUAAGUAGCUGAAUGUACCGAAGGAUAAGGAUCGGCUAACUCCGUGCCAGCAG
rnacentral:rRNA from 1 species